AACCGUUAAUCUUCCUGGACAGAUGGUUAAUAUCUUCUGCCCACCACAAAUGUGAAGAAGAAAGUCCAGAGGGUGCCUGAAUAUCCAUCUGUACAAGCAGUACUCCGGUGUUCCCCUCACAGAUGCAUUAAGCCUUAGGUGAGAUGGCAGGUGCUGGAGAGCGCAAGGGGAAGAAGGAUGACAACGGCAUUGGCACAGCCAUCGAUUUUGUGCUAUCCAAUGCCCGGCUCGUGUUGGGUGUGGGCGGAGCUGCCAUGCUGGGCAUUGCCACUCUGGCUGUCAAACGAAUGUAUGACCGGGCAAUCAGUGCUCCCAGCAGCCCCACCCGCUUGAGUCAGUCAGGAAAGAGAAGCUGGGAGGAGCCAAACUGGCUGGGGUCCUCAUCACGUUUACUGAACCAGGAUAUGAAGACAAACCUAAGCCGUUCCCUACAGACCCUCCCCACUGACCCUUCAGCUUUAGACGCAGAUGCGUUCCUACCUGCAAAGCCCAAACCGUCUGCCAAGAGGAGCCAAGUAGAAUUGAAGAAGUCGCACCUCCGCCUGUCCCUGCAAGAAAAACUCUUUGCCUACUACCGGAGGAAAGUGGCUAUCCCUGCAGAAGAUCAGGCCCGGGCCAAGCAGGCAGCUGUAGAUAUCUGCGCUGAACUGCGUAGCUUCCUACGUGCCAAGAUGCCAGACAUGCCCCUGCGUGACAUGUACCUCAGUGGCAGCCUGUACGAUGAUCUGCAGGUAGUGACAGCUGAUCACAUUCAGCUCAUUGUGCCUCUGGUCUUGGAGCAGAACCUGUGGUCAUGCAUACCAGGUGAGGACACCAUCAUGAACAUCCCUGGCUUCUGCCUGGUACGUCGGGAAAAUCCAGAAUACUUCCCCCGUGGGAGCAGCUACUGGGACCGCUGUGUGGUGGGGGGCUACCUCUCCCCCAAGGCUGUGGCAGACACCUUUGAGAAAGUAGUAGCAGGCUCCAUCAACUGGCCAGCCAUUGGGUCUCUACUGGACUAUGUGAUCCGUCCGGCAGCGCCCCCAGAGACCCUGACACUGGAAGUCCAGUAUGAGCCAGAGCGGCACCUUCUUAUUGACUUCCUACCAUCCCUGGCACUGGGUGACACCAACCUGGUGGCCAAACCCCACCGAUUGGCCCAGUAUGACAAUCUGUGGCGACUGAGCUUGCGGCCAGCGGAGACAGCUCGCUUGCGGGCCCUGGACCAAGGCGAUUCUGGCUGCCGUUGCUUGUGCCUCAAGAUUCUCAAAGCUGUGUGCAAGUCAAACCCAGCACUGGGCCGCCUCACUGCCAGCCAGCUCACCAAUGUCAUCCUGCACCUGGCCCAAGAGGAGUCUGACUGGUCCCAAGAUGUGCUAGCUGACCGCUUCCUGCAGGCAUUGAAGGGCCUGAUUGGCUACUUGGAGGCUGGUGUCUUACGCAGUGCUCUGAAUCCCAAGGUGAACUUGUUUUCAGAGCUCACCCCUGAAGAAGUGGAUGAGUUGGGCUACACCCUCUACAGCUCCCUCUCAGAGCCACAGAUUCCCCAAACUUACCAGAAUUGAGCUCUGGUGAAUCUCCAGGAGAAAAUGUCAAAGCCAAGGGUCUUCCAUCAGAAAUGACUUGCAGCUUGCCCCCUGGAGUUCAGCCUUGAAGACAACUUCAUGGUGGGAAGAAGCUGCUGCUGCUGCAGUGGAGCAUAGAAUGAGUGGGCCACUGAGAGUUUUGUGGAUAAUAAACACCUUGAAUCACACCCCAAAAUGGGCAAGUUGCUAGUGCAGAAUACGGAGCAAAGGAGCUGGGUUCAUCAUACUGGGCUGCCCUAUUUAAGAGGCGAGUAGCUAUUUUUUGUACUAGUUCAAGCUUCCGCAUGCUCAAGUAGAGUCUUGAGAGUGUAACUGGCUUAAUGGUUUAAUGAUUUAAAUUUUGCUUUUGAAUUGCUUAAACGCAAGUGGUACGAACUGUGCUUUCAACGACUACACCAGGAUAAAUGACCUGCAGCAUGGCUGUGGCUGGCCUGAGUCAGCUGAGUUGGACUCAUGGGACUCAGGCUGCAGGGCUAAAAAUUGCUGUGUAGAUGUUCGGGCUCAGGCUGAAGCCUGGGCUCAGGGACCCUCCCCCAAAUGUCCACACAGCAAUUUUUCAAUCCGGAGCCCGAGACCCACAAGCCCACGUCAGCUGACCCAGGCCAGCCACAGGCUUUUGUAAUCCCUGUGUAGACAUACCCUAAAUCAAUUAGGAGGAUAUGUGGAGUGGAGGAAUCCGACACAGAGUAUUUCAGUUUCAGGUCUUAGAUUCCAGUUUAGCUCAGUUGUGCUGGAAGAUUAUUACUAUUGGAAACUUUGAGUAUCUAUGUGAAAUUGUUAUACCAAUAAAAUAAAAACCAGCAGGAUCUUUUUAAAGGGGAAAAGGCAAAAUGCCACAUUUAUUGUGACUACAGAAAGAAUCAUAGUAAGCAGUUAGUUAUAGCUUUAACAUUCCAUUCAAUUUCAUAUUUAUUCACACAUUCAUUCAUACACACACACAGGUUCUGCAAGGUUGUUAUCAUAGUUAUCAGCCUUAGAGUUGUUCAUGCCAAGCCACUGGCCAGGUGGCCUGGACAUGAGGCGGGAGCAGGGCCUUGUCAGAUGCUCGUCUGAUGCUCCUGGAAGUUGGUUUGCAGAAUCAGACCCCAAAGUUCUCACCUUCUAGAGUCCAUUUUUAUAGGAAUUUCUUCCUAUGCCAGUCUAUGGGAAUUGCUUCAUCAUGCUGUUGCUGAAUCAGUCAGCAGAUGGCACAUUCCUGAUGGCUCUGUGCUGCCAGAUGUUAUCUUGUUCUUUGGUUCUCCCAUCCUUGAGGCUGUUGGGUGGAUUCCAGUCUGCCCUCUGGGGGUCCUCUGGUUAUUUCCACUUGACGCCUUCUUCAGGUGAUGGACACUGGAUUCUUAGGCUGGCACCUCCCUGAUCAUUCAGUUAUUAUCCACACCAAGCAUCCAUCCACAUACAUCCUCUAUCUCUGUUUUAAUCACAAUUGAUAACAAAGCGAGAUGAAUACAACAAAAGGGCGGGGAGUCUCUGGGUGCUGUUUCUGUUGUUACAGAGUAUUACUUUGAGUCUCUCUCUCUGUGUGUAGUUGUUGUUACAAAGAAUUGCUUUGAGAACAGACUCUGUCUUAGAAUGUACUAACACAAUAGCAGCUUGCAAGUUUCACACAGAGAGGGAGAGAAACAGUACCAAAAACCAAGAGACCUCUUAAUUAGUAAUACCCUGGAAUUUAAACUAUGGGGAAUCAAACUCAUUUGUGAUUUUAAUACAGAACUUCUUUAAUAUGAUUCAACAUAAUGAACUGUUGGGUAUCUCAAUCCCAUUCCUGCUGGAAUCUUUGCUCACAUAACAAAAACCACAUCAUUGACACUACCAGACAUUGCUGACAGUCUCACGGGAGAGGCCAAGGACUGAAUGGGCCAUGAAGACUGAACUCUCAUCCUUAGAGGUGGGGUUCCUCCUGUAGGAGGAACUCAGGUGGGUGGUUGUGGGAAAGAAAAUUUUCGGAGAAACUGUCCGUAUUCUGUAGAUGAUGGGCACGUAGCUAUGGCCUCACAGUGAAAUGGAACCAAACUUACUUUUUUAAUUUUGGCUUCACCAUUCUAUAGCUUAGUGUUAAGCAAGAGGAGACAUGUACCUGACCUAUAGCGAUGAUGAUAGCCAUGUGAUAAAUGUUUGUUGUACACAUUUGACCACCUCAUUUUCCCCUAAUCUCUUUCUCCAGGAUUUACAAGCACACCCCCAGCCCCAAGGCAGCUACCUUUUAAAAAAAUCAGUCCACUGGAGCAGUGUUUCCUCUUGAAAUAUUAAUCAUGCUUAUUUCUUAGUGUUUUUCAUCAGUAGAUUCCAAAGCGCUUCACACUCUUUAAUGUGUUCAUUUUCACAACAACCCUGUGAGGUAAGGAAGAAAUAUUAUCCCUGUUUUACAGAGGGGGAACUGAGGCAGAAAUGGUAUGUCAACGUUGCAAUAAAAGACCUGCAGCACAGCCAUGGCUGGUGCAGGUUAGCUGACUCAGGCUCCUGGGGCUAAAAAUUGCAAUGUAGAUGUUCGGGCUCAGGCUGGAGCCUGGUCUCUGGAACCCCGCGAGGUGGGUAGGUCUCAGAGUCUGGGCUCUAGCCUGAGUGUCUAUGCUGCAGUUUUGAGCCUUGAGCCCUGCGAGCCUGUCAGUUAACCCAGGCUCAGACUCGGUGCCACAGAUUUUUUUAUUGCAAAGUAGAUGUACCUAGAGAGACUAAAUGACUUACCCAAGGUCAUGGCAGAGCUGGGAAUUGAACCCACGUCCUAGGCCAGUGCUCUAACCACUGAACCAUCCUUUCUCUCUCAAAUGGGCAAUUUUCCUCCCAAUAUUAUCCUGGCCUGUGGUGACGGGCAAGAUUCAAGGAUCUCAGGAUGGGCAGGAAAAUAUUUUCAAGAUCUUAAAAUGUCAGGAUAUUACAACUAAUAUUUCCUGGUUUUAAAGGUCGACAGAUGGGAGAUUUGCGUUCUUUUCCCAUGGAACCCAGCACUCAGAUGUAGCUCUGAAAAGGCCCUUAAAGGCUUUUUUAGGGACCAACCAUUAUAUUAGAGGUGCUUUACUUUUACUGAAAUAUCUCUCAGCCCUGUUCAGCUGGGCUUAUGAUAAUGAAGGCUCCUGACUCUAGAGCUACAGGGAGACAAGAAACAAUCCCAAUGACAUUUUAAAAUGGUCUUAGAAUAGUUUUUCUAAAACAUAUAUGGUGUAUGCAGAAUCAAAGCUGGCAGGAUGUAAAGGUUUUAUUACCAUUCAUCUGAGAUGAUCUGCAGUACUCACAAGUGACAUAGCCAGAAGUGAGUUAGGUGAACAUUCCAACUGUGCUAAUAAAAUCUUUAUAAUGCAACAUCAAUCUUUAAAAAAUUUCAAAGGUUUGAAACAAGUUGAUGAAGUGAAGCAGUAAGGCAGUGAACAUUUGGAAUGGUUCUCCUUUAUGUAGGAAGUGUCUAAUCAGAAUCAAGACUGAAAAAAAUGGCUUGGUUUACAAAAGUUAAACUUCUCAUGCACUUAGUCCAGUGCUUAAUUUGUGAUGAAAGAGGUGCUGGAACUCAAGCAAUUUUUGUACUUUCAUAACUGAUGUGACAAGCCCAGAGGGGCCAGGGCUAUGAACUGCCAAGCCUAGCUGUGCCAGGGCUCAGCCCUGGCAAGCCCUGGCACAAAUUAAGCACUGUCUUAAUUCUUCUGAAAUACUAGUGCAGAGGGCAGUUUUUAACAUUUAAAAUUACUCUAAAACCCAAAGGUCAGAUAGACUGGUUCAGUAUCACGGACCCACGUAAUGAAGUAUUGCUAACCUAAGUUUCCCUUUAAAAUUAAAUUCUAGCCAUGUUCUUGAUGAAGAGCCUUCAGAGUACAAAUAGAUUGCUGGGGCUGAAAGUGGCACAAUUGGUAUGGUUUUUAAAACUGUAGUUAUUCAUAAUCCCUGUUGACUUCAGGCCAGUUUUACGCUCUUGUCUGCCACUUCAUUCCCCGCCUAUCAAUCUUCACAUCCCCUGGCACUGGUAGAUUCUUCACCCCUCUGAAGGGGUGAGUAGGCCGUAGUACUCGUCCUGCUAGCCCUCUGAUUUCAAUGGGUCCAAUUCUACAAGGUGCUGCCUGCCCGUGGCACCCAUGGUGCUCAGCACCUUGCAGGAUCAGGAUUUACACUGGCAACAACAAUACUGCCACCCCAGUGGAUUAAAAAAAAAACAGACCAAGGGCACCUGAAAAAAGGUGAGAAAUUAGCAACCCAUGAUUCCCUGGGUGUCCCAUGACAAUCUGCAGGAGCACACUGCCUCAAGAUUUGGAAUGCUUAAUCACUGGCUCCCCCCUCCAUUUAAAUGAAGGGGGAGCGAUGGCCAUUAGGAGCAGCACGUCAGCACAGUUUGGUAGUAAUGGCACCCUAGCCUUAUAUUAUUGCCUUCAACCUCUUGAGUUUGUUUAACCCAGGAUCUAGUUAUUACUUCAGAUGCAGGAACCACCUUCAUGUUAUCCGAACUACAUAUUUAUUAUUAUUUUUAGGCUCCUGCUUGUUGACAUUAUCAAUACUAACUGAGGCCCUGUGAUAGGACAUGGUGAAAGCAGUAAAUCAGGUGGCGGUUGUAACAAUACAGCAUGCAGCUUAACCAUGCUUUUGGACUGAAAUGACACUUCAGUUAAAAAAAUUGAACUAUACAAAAUUAACAGCACAUGUAAAAUGGAUUCAAAACUGGCUAACUGGUAGGUUGCAAAAUGUAAUUGUAAACAGGGAAUCAUCAUCAAGUGGGAGUUUUUCUAGAGGGGUCCUGCAGGGAUCAGUUCUUGGCCCUAGAUGAUUUAAUAUUUUUACCAAUGACCUAGAAGAAAACAUAAAAUGAUCACUGAAAAAGUUUGCAGCUGACAAAGAUUGGGGGAGUGAUAAAUAAUGCAGAGGACAGGUCACCAAUGCAGAGCAAUCUGGAUCACUUGGUAAGCUGGGCACAAGCAGACAACAUGUAUUUAAUACAGUUAAAUGUAAAUGUACACAUCUAGGAACAAAGAAUGUAGGCCAUCGUUACGGGAUGGGGGACUCUAUCCUGGGAAGCAGCAGGUUAUGCUUAUAAGAAGCACACAGGAUCUUUUUCAGAGAAAAAGGCAAUAUGCCGCAUUUAUUGAGAAUACAGCAGCACACACCCACAUCCCCCCCCACCCCCCAAAUGAUGUUUAUAGUUACCAGUCCAGAGUCUGGAUGAAUCUAGUGGACAGCCAGAUUGGUCGCAGAGGGGAGCCGGGCUCUGUCGGUUGCGAUCCGAUGCUCCUGGAGUUGUGGCAAGAUGAACCCAAAGUCCCAUGGCCAAGCACCCUGUUCUUAUAGUCUUUUUUUUCUCUGUUGAAGUCUAUGGAUUUUGCAGUGUCAGUUUGUGACCGGUUACUCCUUAUUUGGUGUUAUCUUUUGAUGUUAACAUUCCAAAACACCUCUGAGAUGGUCAUUCUGUCCUGGUUUCGAUUUAAUCAAUUGUCCUGUCUUUAGGCAUGCCAGCCUCCACCUCAGAGUUGUCAAUCUGCCCUUCCUCAAUCAUGGAUGCGCGUUGAUGGUUCUCUGGUGUUAAGUCUCUUCACUCCUCCUUCCUUGACCAUCUGGCUAUAACAAUGGCCUUCACACCUUAUCUUUGCCUGAGGUAACUCUUGGUGCACCCCGGUCUCUGAGCCCCCUUGACGAGCCUGGUUGCCUGUGGUAUUCAGCCCUUUUCACUGGACACUCUCAG